AGAAGUUUGGCCUUUAUGUCGAAACCACCGUAACUUGCCCACCCCACCGUCUCUCAUUCACCGGGAUUUUGACCGGGAUCACCUGAAAUAUAACACACUACACACACAUACGUACACAAACAAACAAAGAAACAUACACUUCGGUGUGGGGGAGAGCAUAAAGAACGGCCAUAUGCAGCAAACCAAAAUCAACGUACAAAACAAAAAAUAUGACGACAUAUUUGUACAAAAGGCUACUCACAAACACGCUCACAGACGACACACUGUGAUCGGUACCGAAAUCGCCCACAGGAACACAGAAACCACCGAGAACCGUACAGAACCGGGGUGACGGGGAACAAAAAGCACGGGACACAAAAGUUUCCUCUCAUCACACACAUCAGGGUCAGAGGGCAGAAAGUUUAACAAGAAGAGUUUCAAUGGCUAGUCAAAAGUAGUUGACUCGGGUAGUUCGGUGGUCGUAUACAGAUGUUCGGUGCAGUCCUUUCCAGUAUUGGGAAGAAAUGAGGCGAUGAACUGUGACGAGGGUCACCUUUAGUGUAUAAGUAAUAUCUAAUCGCAUGCAUACUAACUAACGAACAACUAGAAUUAAACUGUAGCUGAAAAAACCAAAGACAACACGCAAAAAAAAUAAUCCUUAUGGUCUUCUCGGGAAGGUGGUGCAUGAAGGAGUAAACCAGAACGAAAGCUUUCAAGCACGAUUGGCCCCGUAAACCGUUAAACUCUCGGGCGAAAACACAACACAUCUACUUGUGCAUGGAGCUUGAAUUCGUUUCUCACUGAAUCCUCUCUAACCUCGAUAAGUGUGUACUAACCAACUUGGCUCGGUCCGGACAGAAUCAAUAGCAAUAACUACGGGCUGCAGGAAUGUUACUUAGAAAUUACUAGGGCGGUUGGGUUUAUAUUGAGGAAAAUCGGCUAAAAAAAUGCUGCGGAAAAUGGAAGGACUCGCUGCGGGAGCAGUUGCUCUCAUUGAACUAACUCAGCACGGGGGAGUGUGUGUGUACUAAUAUGCACCAUCAGAUGUUGGUAGUAGACCGUUAGAAAUUGGUAAUGAAUAGAAGGUGCAUCAAAGAUUUCCAGCUUAUGUGUGUUUAUCUUAUAGGCUGCUUUUAGUAAGAUUAGGAGUCGUUAAAAUCCGUUUGGUACAAAAUCUACUAUUGUUGUAAUGUUCUAAACUUUGUUCCAAAAACUUAUGUACAAUGAGGGGAAAUUACUACCCAAUUGACAUUUUCGAGUUCUAAAAUCGGGGAUUCGAGCUAUUUCCCUUAAAUUUGCACAUUAAACUUCUCUUAAACUGCACCAGUUUAAGGGACUUUUAGAACAAGCCCUUUAAAAUCGACUGUGAAGUGUAUUUUUCUUUGCUUUUUUAUCUUUUUGGGAAAUAAUGUUUCCAAUUCUUAUUACUGGUCGUAUACUUAUUUUAUUAAAAAAAAACAUCAAAUUUUCACCAAAUAACGUCGUACGAAAUGAACCCACGUUCUUUUUUCGCCAAAUAUUAAAGCAAAUUAAUCUAAAACGAAUUGGACGCCAUCUUCAUCCAACAGAAGAAGGUCAUUCGCACGUACAAACGAAAUUUUGACAAUUUCAACAUGGUUUAUCACAAACAAAUCCACAAUUUUUGGUGUUUCGAUCACUAUUCGAGCAGAUCAUGGUUACAAAAUUUAGAACAAAAUUAAUAUAAGGGAUGUUCAUUUUGAUUUGUUUUGCCAAUGUCAACCAUCAUUAAAGUAAAACAUUUAGGUAACUUGUCUAGAAUAUUUCGAAACCCCCCAUUAUUUGCCGAAUUUAUCGAAUCGAAUUUAAACGAACUGGUGAGCCAUUACUAUAUGUUGGUUUGGUAAUUAAUUGCUGUUUGAUUUAUUGAUUUGAAAUUAAUUUUACUAAUUCUACUGAUUUACUGAUUCAAAUAAUUUAAGUUGAAUUGAAUGAAAAAAUUUGGUGAGCUUGCUGUAUAACAUGCGAGCUUGUCGUUUUAAAAUGAUUAAAAAAAAGGAUCAAUUACCGUUGGAUUUUCGAGUGAUUUAUCAAUUCGAUAAUUUUUUCAUUCUUAACUUCUUGUUUGUACUAAAAA